rnacentral:rRNA from 1 species
AACGAACGCUGGCGGCAUGCCUAACACAUGCAAGUCGAACGAGACCUUCGGGUCUAGUGGCGCACGGGUGCGUAACGCGUGGGAAUCUGCCCUUGGGUUCGGAAUAACAGUUAGAAAUGACUGCUAAUACCGGAUGAUGACUUCGGUCCAAAGAUUUAUCGCCCAAGGAUGAGCCCGCGUAGGAUUAGCUAGUUGGUAGGGGAAAGGCCUACCAAGGCGACGAUCCUUAGCUGGUCUGAGAGGAUGAUCAGCCACACUGGGACUGAGACACGGCCCAGACUCCUACGGGAGGCAGCAGUGGGGAAUAUUGGACAAUGGGCGAAAGCCUGAUCCAGCAAUGCCACGUGAGUGAUGAAGGCCCUAGGGUUGUAAAGCUCUUUUACCCGGGAUGAUAAUGACAGUACCGGGAGAAUAAGCCCCGGCUAACUCCGUGCCAGCAGCCGCAGUAACAC